rnacentral:rRNA from 1 species
CCCCUAUGUUAGUUGCCAUCAUUCAGUUGGGCACUCUAGCGAGACUGCCGGUAAUAAACCGGAGGAAGGUGGGGAUGACGUCAAAUCAUCAUGCCCCUUAUGACCUGGGCUACACACGUGCUACAAUGGUUGGUACAACGAGUUGCGAGUCGGUGACGGCGAGCUAAUCUCUUAAAGCCAAUCUCAGUUCGGAUUGUAGGCUGCAACCCGCCUACAUGAAGUCGGAAUCGCUAGUAAUCGCGGAUCAGCACGUCGCGGUGAAUACGUUCCCGGGCCUU